rnacentral:rRNA from 1 species
AUGGCGGCGGCGGCGGACUUCACGCAGAGCAAGCAGGCCAUGUCGUACGCGCUCUGCAAGCACCUGAACCUCGAUCCGAAUAGCAUAUCCAGUACACUUAUCAAGGAGAAUGAUAUUGCGAGCCUAUUCUCACAUAUCGUGACCUCACCGCAGGAUGAGGUCAAGAAGUGGGUUGAGUUCUCCAGCAAUUUUGUUCUAAGUGAUGGAGAACAGCAUGCAUUACUUGGUAAUUUGAAUCAACAUUUGUCCCAGAUGUCGGUACUAUUAGCUGGUUUCAAACCAUCAGCGGCGGACAUUAUUGUGUUUGCAACCGUGCAUGUUUUCAUGUGUCAUCUUAGUGACAGUGAGUUGCAGAAAUAUCCAAAUAUAUUGCGGUGGAUGGACUACAUUCAGAAUGUUGUUGAUUUUGGUAUGACACUGCAAAAGAUAAACUUGACGAAAUCUAUCUUCAACCCACCUGCACACCCAAAGAAAGCUGAUAAAGGAGAUGGUGAUCCAAAUUCCAAGAAAGCUGUUUCAGGACAGAAGGUUGCGGAUAAGUCAGAUGUAGCUGCUGACUCCAAAAAGGCUGCAGGGGAGAAUAAGGUUCCUGGGGAUAAGGCAAAUCCUACUUCUACCAAAAACAACAAACCUUCUGGGGAUAAAAAGAAAGUCCAAGAGAAGACUGCCGGCAAAACAGAGGCAGCUGCAGAGAAAGCUCCACAGAAAAGUGCAGAAAAGGAUUCUGAGUGCAGUGUUAGUAUCCUGAAUAUACAGGUCGGAGUUAUUCGCAAAGCAUGGAAACAUCCAUCAGCUGACAGUCUUCUGGUGGAGGAGAUAGAUUUGGGAGAUGGCAAUGUGCGUCAAGUUGUUAGUGGUCUUGCGAAGUUCUUCAGCCCAGAUGAACUUGUUAAUCGCCAUGUUGUCUUGAUCACGAAUGUGAAGCCUGGGAAGCUGCGCGAUGUAAUGUCUGCUGGAUUGGUCUUGUGUGCUUCAAAUAAAGAUCAUACAGUCGUGGAGCCUUUGAUUCCUCCGGAAGGUGCCAAGCUUGGAGAACGCAUUUCUUUUGCUGGGUUUGAUGGGAAGCCGGAAGAUGUUCUAAACCCAAAGAAGAAACAAUUGGACAAGAUAACACCUAUGAGUUCAGAAUUGGGUGAUGACAAGGAAAAGGAAACGGAAAAGAUUGAAAUAGAGCCCGAGGAGGCCCAGGAAGUGUGGAGGGAAAUGCUCAAGCAGUUCAAGGCCGAGGCCAUCCGAAUGCAGGCCCUGACAACGCAGGCAUACGAUGUCUACUCCAAGAGGGCGAGGGAGGUGCUGUUAGAGGCCUCGGAGAAGCUAAGGAUCCAGGCAGAUAAAGCACAAAAGGACCUGACCAUCAUCGCUGCAGAGGUUGGUGAGGAGGGGCAGGAAUAUCUACAGCUGGCAGCUAAGAACUCCCCAGAUUCUAUCAAGGAUAUCACCGAGACAAUCAAUGCAGUUGGCAACCUCAAUGGGCCAUCAGAUUAUAAGGAUUAUCAUGUCGGCAUUUCAUUUGGUACCUUUCUUACUGUAGGAGGUUUCCUUAACUUCAUGCUAACUGGAAGUACAUCUGCAAUUCGCUUUGGUUUUGUCCUUGGGUUUGCACUGUUGGCUCUGGGUAUCUCAAGUUUGAGAUCGCAAAGAGCAGGCGGUCGUCAGCCUCGUCUUCUGCUGAAAGGGCAAGCUGCUAUUGCAAGCGUUAUCUUCUUCAAGGACUUGUCAGUUUUCUUCCGGUAUGGGUGGUUUCCAAAUGUUUUCGCAGUCCUUCUCAGUGGAAUGGUGGCGACCUUUUACAUUCAUCGCAUUGUGACUGGUGGCCACAAUGGUCGCACCGAGAGCAGUUCAGAUAACUAA